rnacentral:rRNA from 1 species
GUGGGGAAUAUUGCACAAUGGGCGCAAGCCUGAUGCAGCAACGCCGCGUGAAGGAUGAAGGCCUUCGGGUUGUAAACUUCUGUCCUAGGGGAAGAAAAAAAUGACAUUACCCUUGGAGGAAGCCCCGGCUAACUACGUGCCAGCAGCCGCGGUAAUACGUAGGGGGCGAGCGUUAUCCGGAAUUAUUGGGCGUAAAGAGUGCGUAGGUGGCAUCUUAAGCGCAGGGUUUAAGGCAAUGGCUCAACCAUUGUUCGCCUUGCGAACUGGGGUGCUUGAGUGCAGGAGAGGAAAGUGGAAUUCCUAGUGUAGCGGUGAAAUGCGUAGAUAUUAGGAGGAACACCAGUGGCGAAGGCGACUUUCUGGACUGUUACUGACACUGAGGCACGAAAGCGUGGGGAGCAAACAGGAUUAGAAACCCGAGUAGUCC